rnacentral:rRNA from 1 species
UACGUACUGGGCGAACGUUAUUCGGAAUCACUGGGCGUAAAGGGCGCGUAGGCGGCUUUGUAAGUCGGGGGUGAAAGCCUGUGGCUCAACCACAGAAUUGCCUUCGAUACUGCAUGGCUUGAGACCGGAAGAGGUAAGUGGAACUGCGAGUGUAGAGGUGAAAUUCGUAGAUAUUCGCAAGAACACCAGUGGCGAAGGCGGCUCACUGGCCCGGUACUGACGCUGAGGUGCGAAAGCGUGGGGAGCAAACAGG